rnacentral:rRNA from 1 species
UACGUAGGUCCCGAGCGUUGUCCGGAUUUAUUGGGCGUAAAGCGAGCGCAGGUGGUUUAUUAAGUCUGGUGUAAAAGGCAGUGGCUCAACCAUUGUAUGCAUUGGAAACUGGUAGACUUGAGUGCAAGAGAGGAGAGUGGAAUUCCAUGUGUAGCGGUGAAAUGCGUAGAUAUAUGGAGGAACACCGGUGGCGAAAACGGCUCUCUGGCCUGUAACUGACACUGAGGCUCGAAAGCGUGGGGAGCAAACAGG